UACGGGGGGGGCAAGCGUUGUUCGGAAUUACUGGGCGUAAAGGGCUCGUAGGCGGCCAACUAAGUCAGACGUGAAAUCCCUCGGCUUAACCGGGGAACUGCGUCUGAUACUGGAUGGCUUGAGGUUGGGAGAGGGAUGCGGAAUUCCAGGUGUAGCGGUGAAAUGCGCAGAUAUCGGGAAGAACACCCGUGGCGAAGGCGGCUCUCUGGGACGGUACUGACGCUGAGACGCGAAAGCGUGGGGAGCGAACAGG
rnacentral:rRNA from 1 species